GUCUGCUGGCUCGCAAGGGCAUGUGCACGCCUGUCUCAUCCACUCUCAACUUCUGUGCACUUUUCAUAGGCCGGCUUGUGGGUGCGUUCGCGCACUUGUAGGUGUCGGGCUUAUGCUUUACUACAAACGAUUCAGUUUUAGAAUGUCAUACUUUGCUAUAACGCAAUUAUAUACAACUUUCAGCAACGGAUCUCUUGGCUCUCGCAUCGAUGAAGAACGCAGCGAAAUGCGAUAAGUAAUGUGAAUUGCAGAAUUCAGUGAAUCAUCGAAUCUUUGAACGCACCUUGCGCUCCUUGGUAUUCCGAGGAGCAUGCCUGUUUGAGUCUCAUGGAAUUCUCAACCUUCAGCUUUAUUGAUGAAGGCUUGGACUUGGAGGUCGUGCCGGCUCUCGUAGUCGGCUCCUCUGAAAUGCAUUAGUGCGAACGUUACCAGCCGCUUCAGCGUGAUAAUUAUCUGCGUUGCUGUGGAGGGUAUUCUAGUGUUCACGCUUCUAACCGUCUUCGGACAAAUUUCUGAACUCUGAGCUCAAAUCAGGUAGGACUACCCGCUGAACUUAA
rnacentral:rRNA from 1 species